CGUGAAAUAGAGCUUGAAACAAGUUCCUCAGAAAUUGAGAUUGAGGUGGAGUAAGUACGGAACUUACGAAAUAUUAAGAGAAAGGUGUACUUUCAGAGAACUGAUAGAUUCGCAACUUGGGAUGAGAACUCGUUCUUGGAUAGGUUCCAGGUCUCAAAAAUGUGGCUCGUGUGUUGGCUUUAAAACUAGAACCUUUCUUACUGCCUCCAACGACGAAAAAUUUUGCAAUCACUCAAAUACAGCAAUUUAUCAAUGAAAAUAAGGACAGAACUAAGAAGAGUGCAGCCCAUUAUAGUGGCUACGCCAUAGCUGCAUAAUACAUAUAUUAUGUAACAAAAUGAGAGACCCUGUACCACCAGCUAGGUUUUUUUUAUGAUGAUUCAUCAUCUGAUGAAGAGGAACCUGUCUAUGCAGUUAACAGGAAUGUUAAUAAAAAUAAAAUAUUUCAAUAGAUUA